rnacentral:rRNA from 1 species
UACGAAGGGGGCUAGCGUUGCUCGGAAUCACUGGGCGUAAAGCGCACGUAGGUGGGUCGUUAAGUCAGGGGUGAAAGCCCGGGGCUCAACCCCGGGUCGGCCGUGCGGACUGCGGGGCUGGAGCACUGUAGGGGCGGGUGGAAUUCCGGGUGUAGCGGUGGAAUGCGUAGAGAUCCGGAAGAACACCGGUGGCGAAGGCGGCCCGCUGGGCAGUAGCUGACACUGAGGCGCGACAGCGUGGGGAGCAAACAGG